GCUGGACGUGGUGGCUUACGCCUGUAAUCCCAGCACUUUGGGAGGUUGAGGCUGGUGGAUCACCUGAGGCUAGGAGUUCGAGAUCAGCCUGGCCAACAUGGCAAAAUCCCGUCUCUACUAAGUUAGCUGGGCGUGGUGGUGGGCCCCUGUAAUUCCACCUCCUGGGUUCAAGCGAUUCUCCUGCCUAAGCCUCCCUCCUGAGUAGCUGGAAUUACAGGAGCCCACCACCACGCCCAGCUAACUUAGUAGAGACGGGAUUUUGCCAUGUUGGCCAGGCUGAUCUCGAACUCCUAGCCUCAGGUGAUCCACUCGCCUU
rnacentral:SRP_RNA from 1 species